rnacentral:rRNA from 1 species
AUUGAACGCUGGCGGCAGGCCUAACACAUGCAAGUCGAGCGGAUGACGGGAGCUUGCUCCUUGAUUCAGCGGCGGACGGGUGAGUAAUGCCUAGGAAUCUGCCUGGUAGUGGGGGACAACGUUUCGAAAGGAACGCUAAUACCGCAUACGUCCUACGGGAGAAAGCAGGGGACCUUCGGGCCUUGCGCUAUCAGAUGAGCCUAGGUCGGAUUAGCUAGUUGGUGAGGUAAUGGCUCACCAAGGCGACGAUCCGUAACUGGUCUGAGAGGAUGAUCAUGCACACUGGAACUGAGACACGGUCCAGACUCCUACGGGAGGCAGCAGUGGGGAAUAUUGGACAAUGGGCGAAAGCCUGAUCCAGCCAUGCCGCGUGUGUGAAGAAGGUCUUCGGAUUGUAAAGCACUUUAAGUUGGGAGGAAGUGCAGUAAGCUAAUACCUUGCUGUUUUGACGUUACCGACAGAAUAAGCACCGGCUAACUCUGUGCCAGCCGCCGCAGUAAAAC